CGUCGGCGUCUAUACAUGCAAGUCGAACGCGUCUCCGUUAAUGAUUUUAGGUGCUUGCACUUGAAAGAUUUAACAUUGAGACGAGUGGCGAACUGGUGAGUAACACGUGGGUAACCUGCCCUUGAAGUAGGGGAUAACACUUGGAAACAGGUGCUAAUACCGUAUAACAACCAAAACCACCUGGUUUUGGUUUAAAAGACGGCUUCGGCUGUCACUUUAGGAUGGACCCGCGGCGUAUUAGCUUGUUGGUAAGGUAACGGCUUACCAAGGCGAUGAUACGUAGCCGACCUGAGAGGGUAAUCGGCCACAUUGGGACUGAGACACGGCCCAAACUCCUACGGGAGGCAGCAGUAGGGAAUCUUCCACAAUGGACGAAAGUCUGAUGGAGCAACGCCGCGUGAGUGAUGAAGGGUUUCGGCUCGUAAAACUCUGUUGUUGGAGAAGAACAGGUGUCAGAGUAACUGUUGACAUCUUGACGGUAUCCAACCAGAAAGCCACGGCUAACUACGUGCCAGCAGCCGCGGUAAUACGUAGGUGGCAAGCGUUGUCCGGAUUUAUUGGGCGUAAAGCGAGCGCAGGCGGUUUUUUAGGUCUGAUGUGAAAGCCUUCGGCUUAACCGGAGAAGUGCAUCGGAAACCGGGAGACUUGAGUGCAGAAGAGGACAGUGGAACUCCAUGUGUAGCGGUGAAAUGCGUAGAUAUAUGGAAGAACACCAGUGGCGAAGGCGGCUGUCUGGUCUGUAACUGACGCUGAGCUCGAAA
rnacentral:rRNA from 1 species